AAGUCGUAACAAGGUCUCCGUUGGUGAACCAGCGGAGGGAUCAUUACAGAGUUACUUUUAAAACUCCUAAACCCGUGUGAACUUACCUCCUGUUGCCUCGGCGUGACUUACCCUGCACCUACCCGGUAGGUACCCGGUAAGCCGCCAGGGGACCAUACCAAACUCUUUAUUUUAGUAUCCAUCUCUGAAUCAACAACUAAAUAAGUUAAAACUUUCAACAACGGAUCUCUUGGUUCUG
rnacentral:misc_RNA from 1 species